rnacentral:rRNA from 1 species
UACGUAGGGUGCAAGCGUUGUCCGGAAUUACUGGGCGUAAAGCGUGCGUAGACGGUUAUUUAAGUCGGGUGUGAAAGCCCCGGGCUCAACCUGGGAAUUGCAUUCGAGACUGAAUAGCUAGGGUACGGUAGAGGGAAGUGGAAUUUCCGGUGUAGCGGUGAAAUGCGUAGAUAUCGGAAGGAACAUCAGUGGCGAAAGCGACUUCCUGGACCAGUACCGACGUUCAGGCACGAAAGCGUGGGGAGCAAACAGGA